rnacentral:rRNA from 1 species
UAGGGAAUCUUCGGCAAUGGACGAAAGUCUGACCGAGCAACGCCGCGAGAGUGAAGAAGGUUUUCGGAUCGUAAAACUCUGUUGUUAGAGAAGAACAAGGACGUUAGUAACUGAACGUCCCCUGACGGUAUCUAACCAGAAAGCCACGGCUAACUACGUGCCAGCAGCCGCGGUAAUACGUAGGUGGCAAGCGUUGUCCGGAUUUAUUGGGCGUAAAGCGAGCGCAGGCGGUUUCUUAAGUCUGAUGUGAAAGCCCCCGGCUCAACCGGGGAGGGUCAUUGGAAACUGGGAGACUUGAGUGCAGAAGAGGAGAGUGAGAUUCCAUGUGUAGCGGUGAAAUGCGUAGAUAUAUGGAGGAACACCAGUGGCGAAGGCGGCUCUCUGGUCUGUAACUGACGCUGAGGCUCGAAAGCGUGGGGAGCAAACAGG